GACGAACCGCCCGAACGUUAUUCGGAAUCACUGGGCUUAAAGGGCGCGUAGGCGGGCCUGAAAGUCAGGGGUGAAAUCCCACGGCUCAACCGUGGAAGUGCCUCUGAUACUGGCGAUCUCGAGUCCGGGAGAGGUGAGUGGAACUGCGAGUGUAGAGGUGAAAUUCGUAGAUAUUCGCAAGAACACCAGUGGCGAAGGCGGCUCACUGGCCCGGUACUGACGCUGAGGUGCGAAAGCGUGGGGAGCAAACAGG
rnacentral:rRNA from 1 species